AGAGUUUUGAUCCUGGCUCAGCCUGAACGCUGGCGGCGUGGUUAAGACAUGCAAGUCGCACGGGAGCAGCAAUGCUCUAGUGGCGCAAGGGUGAGUAAUGUAUCGCUAACGUACCCCGGAAGCUGGGAUAGCUGCCCGAAAGGGCAGGUAAUACCAGAUGAUAUAUCCUGGCCGCAUGGUUGGGAUCUCAAAGGAGCAAUCCGGUCUGGGAGCGGGCGAUAUCGUAUCAGCUAGUUGGUGAGGUAACGGCUCACCAAGGCGACGACGCGUAGCCGGACUAAGAGGUCGGUCGGCCACAUCGGGACUGAGACACUGCCCGGACUCCUACGGGGGGCUGCAGUAACGAAUCUUCCCCAAUGGGCGCAAGCCUGAGGGAGCGACGCCGCGUGGAGGAUGAAGUCCUUCGGGAUGUAAACUCCUGUCAGGGGUUACCAAGUUCUGAGGAGCCCCAAAGGAAGAGGU
rnacentral:rRNA from 1 species